rnacentral:rRNA from 1 species
AGAGAUGCACUGGGUUUAAAGGGUGCGCAGGCGGUUUUGUAAGACAGAGGUGAAAUCCCCGGUCUCAACCUGGGAACUGCCUUUGUGACUGCAAGGCUGGAGUGCGGCAGAGGGGGAUGGAAUUCCGCGUGUAGCAGUGAAAUGCGUAGAUAUGCGGAGGAACGCCGAUGGCGAAGGCAAUCCCCUGGGCCUGCACUGACGCUCAUGCACGAAAGCGUGGGGAGCAAACA